CAGUAGCCGCGGUAAUACGUAGGGUGCAAGCGUUGAUCGGAAUUACUGGGCGUAAAGCGUGCGCAGGCGGUUUCUUAAGUCCGAUGUGAAAGCCCCCGGCUCAACCGGGGAGGGUCAUUGGAAACUGGGAAACUUAAGUGCAGAAGAGGAGAGUGGAAUUCCACGUGUAGCGAUGAAAUGCGUAGAGAUGUGGAGGAACACCAGUGGCGAAGGCGACUCUCUGGUCUGUAACUGACGCUGAGGAGCGAAAGCGUGGGGAGCGAACAGGAUUAGAUACCCCCGUAGUCCCUGUCUCUUAUAC
rnacentral:rRNA from 1 species